rnacentral:rRNA from 1 species
AGUAACGCGUGGAUAACCUGCCUCACACUGGGGGAUAACAGUUAGAAAUGACUGCUAAUACCGCAUAAGCGCACAGUACCGCAUGGUACAGUGUGAAAAACUCCGGUGGUGUGAGAUGGAUCCGCGUCUGAUUAGCCAGUUGGCGGGUAACGGCCCACCAAAGCGACGAUCAGUAGCCGACCUGAGAGGGUGACCGGCCACAUUGGGACUGAGACACGGCCCAA